rnacentral:lncRNA from 1 species
GAUACCAUGCAGAGCUUUGUUGCGGAUUUGGGGCAGCAGAUCUCCCAGCUGCAGCAGCAGAAGGAAAAGCAGGAGGCUGUGGUCAAGCAACUGCAAGAGGACAACAGGGCUCUCCAGGAGGAGGGGGCAAAGCAGAGGGAGCAGCUGGAGGAGGUGCAGAGGCACAGGAGCAGCUUCCAGGAGCAGAUCCAGGAGCAGAUCCACAGGCUGUCAGCACAGAUCCGGGACAUAUGGAGCAGCAGUUCUGGUGGGAGCACAGCGAUGCCCUCCAGUGCAGCCAUGGCCCUGAGCCUCCUCGUGACGCUGCUCACUGCAAAGUGGCUGCACUGAGCACAGCGACACGGACCCGGGUCGCCCCUGUCAGUGUGGGGCCAUGGGGAAACCAGGGGGAGAUGGUUUGCCAAGUGCUGGCCCGAGGGGUGAGAUGGGACAAGGCACGUUCAGGGGACAGCGGUGCCACACGGUUCGGUGGGUCUAAACUGAUUUCCAAUAAAACUUCAUGCAAAUCCAAAGCGUUCUGCUGCUCCAGUGUCCUUUGGGGUGGCGGAUGGCGCAGCCCAACAGCCUGGUUUUGUCCAGGGGCUGAGCAUCCUCCCACGCACAACACAAACCACACCACCAUGGGCUGUGACCGGAGAGAAACCACCGCCUGGAGCAACCGGGCACAGUGUGUGGCACUGUCCCACGUCCCCAGCAUGGACCCUGCAGUGUCCAGAGCCACGCUGAAGGCAAUGGGGCUGUGCACACUGCUGGUGCUGCUGGUGGCGGCGGUGACAGCGGCGGUGGCGGUGUUGCUGUGGCGCUCAGAGGCACUGGGGAAGCUGCAAGGCUGCCAGGAGCGGGCGGCCAACGAGAGCCGUGUGCUGGAAAUGCGAGUGGCACAGCUGGAGAGGGAACUCGACCGACUGCAGCACGUGGCUGAUGAGAGACAGAGGGAGGAGGAUGCGCUGCGCCGGGAGCUCAGCCGAGUGCGCAAGGAUGGAGAGAAGCUCAGCUCCAGCCUGCGGUCCUGCCGGAUGCAGGCGGCCAGGCUGGAAGCCAACAUCACAGCGCUGCAGGAUGAGCUGGAGGGGCUGCGGCGUGACAGGGCUGAGCUGUCCCACAGGAACACAGCACUGCAAGAGGAGCUGGCUCAGGGCGCAGAGCGGGCGCUGGGGCUGCAGCAGAGGCUGGAGGAGGUGGCGGAGCAGCGGAGAGCACUGAGGGCACGUGGGGAGCGAUGCGAGGAGAAGCAGCGGGAGCUCGAGGCCACGCUGAAGGACCGUGCAGCUGAGCUGGAUGCGCUGCGGCGGCGGUUGGGGCCCCGCACGGCACGGCGCAGGAAGAGCUGA